rnacentral:rRNA from 1 species
UAAAGCACUUUCAGUACGGGAGAAGGUAUGUAGUUAACACCUGCAUUAUUUGACGUUACCUACAGAAGAAGCACCGGCUAACUCCGUGCCAGCAGCCGCGGUAAUACGGAGGGUGCGAGCGUUAAUCGGAAUUACUGGGCGUAAAAGCGCAUGCAGGCGGCCUGUUAAGUCAGAUGUGAAAAGCCCGGGCUUAAACCUCGGAAAUUGCAUUUGAAAACUGGCAGGCUAGAGUCUUGUAGAGGGGGUAGAAUUUCAGGUGUAGCGGUGAAAAUGCGUAGAGAUCUGAAGGAAUACCAGUGGCGAAGGCGGCCCCUGGACAAAGACUGACGCUCAGAUGCGAAAGCGUGGGGAGCAAACAGGAUUAGAUACCCUGGUAG